GUCUGGAUGGCUUAGUUGGUUAAAGCGUCGGUCUCAUAAUCCGAAGGUCGUGAGUUCGACCCUCACUCCGGACA
rnacentral:tRNA from 2 species